UGGGGAAUCUUGCACAAUGGGGGAAACCCUGAUGCAGCGACGCCGCGUGAGCGAUGAAGCCCUUCGGGGUGUAAAGCUCUUUCGGCAGGAACGAUGAUGACGGUACCUGCAGAAGAAGCUGCGGCUAACUACGUGCCAGCAGCCGCGGUAAUACGUAGGCAGCAAGCGUUGUUCGGAAUUACUGGGCGUAAAGAGUGCGUAGGCGGUGUCCUAAGUUCGGUGUGAAAUCUCCUGGCUUAACUGGGAGGGUGCGCCGGAAACUGGGAUGCUCGAGUAUGGGAGAGGUAGGCGGAAUUCCUGGUGUAGCGGUGAAAUGCGUAGAUAUCAGGAGGAACACCGGUGGUGUAGACGGCUUACUGGACCAUCACUGACGCUGAGGCACGAAAGCGUGGGUAGCAAACAGG
rnacentral:rRNA from 1 species